rnacentral:hammerhead_ribozyme from 1 species
AUCCAGAUGACGAGUUUCAAAUAAAGCGAGAUGCGCAUCCUAGAU